rnacentral:tRNA from 1 species
GACCCAAGCCGGUCCCAGCAAUCUUGCAAGUCAUUGAUUUAACGCGCGGUGGAAGCCCCCUCCUAAGGGGAAGGUCGCCCGUUCGAAUCGGGCCGGGGUCACCA